CCCGGCCACCCCGCCUGCCCACCCACUCUCCACCCGACUGCCGUCGAGGAAACAACCUGCAACUCUAACCAGCAUUCCCGUGUAUAUUCGUCGUCGUAUUUUCAACCCUGAAUACUCGAAAAACUACCAAGCCAUCAACUUGAGUCAACGACAACCCGGUAGAGUUUGGGAGCCAGGUCGAAAAGACACCGGAUACUCAGAAAAUUCUAUUCAACAUGGAGAGCGGUGCUAUUGGUAUUGGCAGGCUGGAUUGUUAUGAAGAUAUGUUUAAGGAAAUUACUCGGAAAUUAUACGGUGAUGAUCCUGAUCAUCGAACAUCUAGUGUACAGAAUGAAUUUGAAGCUUCAGUUUCAUAUAAAAAUGAUGAAGACAAUACCACUGAUGAUGAUGCCAAUUGGACAUGUGAAGAUGAACCACUUAAAGGGACUGAUGGAAGUAGGAUAGCUGCUUAUAAUGCUGCCAAAACAACUUGGAGAUGCUAUGAAUGUGGUGAUUGUAUGAGUGGUAGUCCACGUGAUGUAGCUGAGCAUUUCAUAGAACUUCAUUCAUCAAGGAUAAUUGUUGAAGAUUCAAGAACUAGGGAUCACUCGUCGAGAAAGGAUUACCUAAGUGAUCCAAAGCUUGAAGACAUUCUUGUGUAUUUAGAACGAGUAAGAGAGAAAGCUGAGAGAAUAGCACCGCCAUCAAGACGUACCCAAGAAACACAAACAAUUCCUGCUGCUUUAUUACCUGCCACUACGCCAUUUUUACUUCAAGAAUUACCAUCAACGCCACCACAGCACUUGCAUUCCAGUCCAACGAUGAUGGCAUCAUCAGCGACAACCUUGACCAGUAGUAAACGUUACACAUGUCCAUAUUGCCCUUACGGAACUGAUAGAAGGGAUCUAUACACCCGACAUGAGAAUAUCCAUCGAGAAGAAAAGCCUUUCCAUUGUUACGUAUGUUUCAAACCUUUUAAUCGUGCUGACCAUGUGAAGAAGCAUUUUUUACGAAUGCAUCGAGAACACACAUACGAAUUGUCUAGGAUACGUAGAACUCCAGGGUCUAAUAAUGACAUCAAGCCGUUAAUUCCUGAAACAAAUAAUACAUCAGUUAAUGGAAAUACACAAAUAAAUGGCAAUUAUACAACUAAUUUUAAUAAUAACAAGAGUUACCAAUUGCAAACCAGUCAAACAUCAGCUAACUCAACUCCGUCACUUUACCAAACGACUUCGAUGACUGUAGGGAAUAUUCAGGAUGCUAAUUGUGGUAAUAGAAGACUUCAAACAACAGGAUGCAAUAGUAAAAGUCAUUUAAAAGCUGGAUCAAAAGGAGCUUUAGAAAGACGAUAUACUUGUUGCUAUUGUUCUUGGAGUGGUGUUGAUAAUUGGUGUUUAAAACGCCACUUGAAUACACACCUAAAGCCUUUUGCAUGUGCUCUUUGUGAAUAUAAAGCAGCUCGAGCUGAAAGAUUAGCAACACAUGUGCUGAAGGUUCACAACAAACGUCAAUGUUCAAGAUGUUCAUUCUUAGGAGAAGACACAGCACAAUUACAAUUACAUCAAUUACAUGUUCAUCGAAUUAAUACUGGUAAUACUAACACUAGUGUCCCGACAACAUCGACAACUCAAGUGUCGUUGCAGAGUUCAGCAACACCAACCAAUACAACGAAUUCUACUGCUACAUGUAAUCGAGAUCAACCUCUUCAUCUUGGUGGAGUUGGACGUCCACCACCUGGUCCACCAGUAUUUCCAACAACAGCACCAACAAUAGCACCACCUCCUACCACAAUUCUUGGCGCCGCUGUUGUUGCGGCUACAAGAUGGUAAAACAAAUCAACUUUCAAAGACAACGACAACGCAUUCAUCACGAAGAUAUUAAGGAUCAGUCAAAUAUCAACAAAUGGACGAAGUAGAUCGCGAAAACAAAGUGAGCCACGUAAGAUAAUUAAGCAAUAUGAAUCAGAAGAGGAGGAAAAUAUGAAUGAAGAAUUGAAUAAAAAAUUUCAGGAGAAUAAGAAAG
rnacentral:misc_RNA from 1 species